rnacentral:rRNA from 1 species
AUGGUUGUCGUCAGCUCGUGCCGUGAGGUGUCGGCUUAAGUGCCAUAACGAGCGCAACCCCCAUCGACAGUUGCUAACAGGUUAGGCUGAGGACUCUGUCGAGACUGCCGGCGCAAGCUGCGAGGAAGGCGGGGAUGACGUCAAAUCAGCACGGCCCUUACGUCCGGGGCGACACACGUGUUUCAAUGGCAGGUACAGCGGGAAGCCACCUGGCGACAGGGAGCGGAACCCGAAAGCCUGUCUCAGUUCGGAUUGGAGUCUGCAACCCGACUCCAUGAAGCUGGAUUCGCUAGUAAUCGCGCAUCAGCCACGGCGCGGUGAAUACGUUCCCGGGCCUUGUACACACCGCCCGUCAAGCCAUGGAAGCCGGGGGUGCCUGAAGUGCGCUGCCGCAAGGAGCGCCCUAGGGUAAAACCGGUGACUGGGGCUAAGUCGUAACAAGGUAACCGUAAGGGCGAAUUCGC